rnacentral:rRNA from 1 species
GUCCACGCCGUAAACGAUGACAACUAGGUGUCGGGUGUCCAAGGACGUUCGGUACCGCAGCUAACGCGAUAAGUUGUCCGCCUGGGGAGUACGGCCGCAAGGCUAAAACUCAAAGGAAUUGACGGGGCCCGCACAAGCAGCGGAGCGUGUGGUUUAAUUCGAUGUAACGCGAAGAACCUUACCUGGCCUUGACAUUCGGGUGGUAGGGAUCCGAAAGGUGACCGACCCUCGGGAGCUCGAACAGGUGCUGCAUGGCUGUCGU